rnacentral:rRNA from 1 species
UGGGGAAUAUUGCACAAUGGGGGAAACCCUGAUGCAGCAACGCCGCGUGAAGGAUGAAGGUUUUCGGAUCGUAAACUUCUAUCAGUAGGGAAGAAAAAAAUGACAGUACCUAACUAAGAAGCCCCGGCUAACUACGUGCCAGCAGCCGCGGUAAUACGUAGGGGGCAAGCGUUAUCCGGAUUUACUGGGUGUAAAGGGUGCGUAGGUGGCAUGGUAAGUUGGAUGUGAAAGCCCAAGGCUCAACCUUGGGAUUGCAUCUAAAACUGCCAAGCUAGAGUGCAGGAGAGGAAAGUAGAAUUCCUAGUGUAGCGGUGAAAUGCGUAGAUAUUAGGAGGAAUACCAGUAGCGAAGGCGGCUUUCUGGACUGUAACUGACACUGAGGCACGAAAGCGUGGGUAGCAAACA